UUCAUUUACGCUUUUAUUGACUCUGACAUAAGGUGUGAGUAUUUGACUUUCUUUGUUGGUGGCAGUGAUCUGUAACACUCAGCACUUUCUAGGUGAGCUAAACCAAGAAAAUCCACAGUGACUGGCUAAGGCUGCAACUUCAUUGGAAGGCAAGUGAAAAAGCAUCAGAGGCCUCCUGCCUCAAGGCUGGCCUCCUGGGAGCUCAGUACACAGUAGUGUGGCUCUGGGCCUCUGCAAGGGCCUUCAAGCUUGGCUGUCCUCAUACACGAAAUUAGAAUGUGGGAGUAGUUGGCGUUGAAGGUCUUCACAUUUAAAGGGAUAUAAAACGAUACAUGAAACUAGAAUAUUCAUUUAGCUCAGAAAAUCUCAACACGUGGUAGGUAAGAUGCUAUGUAACUUACGGGAACAGGAGACUCGGGACGUCUUGUCUGAAAGUGGGUUUCAAGAGUGAAGUCUGAUACACUACCACUAAAUGUACUUGGUCUGAGUUAAAUAACCUUAAGGUAUUUCCCAGCUUCCAGCUGGUUAGCCUUUAGCAAGAGAGCUACAAGUGCAUUGUCCUUAAGGAGCCUUAUGUACACAGACGUUCUUUUCUCUGCACGUGUCAAGGGAAGGUGACCAGUCCCAGCCAUGCCUGGGACAAGGGUCCCAGAUAUGCAAUGCUAAGUGCCAACCAAAGUGAGUCCUAGGGGUCCUGGGAGGAGUUGUCCCCUUAGGUGUCCUCAGGACUUAUUCUCAUACUGAUGUCAUCCUAGCUGAUAACUGUGUUGGGUUAUGCCAUGGCUGUCAAUAUUUUUAGGACUCAACCCCUGUAUUCUGUAUUCAUUACUGUGGAUGCAACCUAAGAUUUACAAUAAAUAACACAAAGAACAAUGGAGUUGAGUAUGGAAUGAAAAGAGGCAACGAGCUAGGGAUGAUCUGUGUAGGUGUAAGUACACUUUGUGUCCUUAGGAGUUCUUGUAACAGAAACCGUGUGAAACUAUAGAUGUCUUCUCCUAUAAGGGAAAACAUGGUGUUUGAUGCUUUGGUCUCUAUUUCCCAGUCUGUCCUGCUUAAGAAGCCAGAAUGUGGUUUCUAUUUGGUGGAUGCUGUCUUAAAAUUACUAAAUGUGUCAUCCGGAAGCAGGUAAAGGAGUCAGUAUCCCUGUGGAGUUCUGUCCUACUCUCACGGUGCUUACCAGCUAAGCUGAGCUCAGGAGCCAAGGGAAACCCUGCUCCUGCUCUCUGGUGGUCCUCAGUGGCUGAUGCAGUGCACUGUGAUGGAGAUACUAAAACAAGUGUGUUAUUUGUAAGUCUUCUCUCAGUGAUUGUCAGACAACUGUGGUGUGUGUGUGUGUGUGUGUGUGUGUGUGUGUGUGUGUGUGAGAAACAGUGAGCUGAGGCUUUAUUAUAGCUGAUUUCCAGUUAAAAUUGUGAAAUACGUAUUUCUUGUCCACACCAAAUAUUUCAGUCUAUUUAAUGUAUUAAAGAAAUAGUUCUGCUUAAGAAAAUGUUGCUUAAAUGUUCUGUGAUUUCUGGUGCAUUUUUAUACAGAUCUGUGUGUGUCUGUGCAUUCACUUUCUGCCUUUGCUCUCUGUGUUAACUGUCCUGUUGCCCUCGGAAGGUGGACACUAUUCGUAGCAUUAAAAAGAAAUAUUUGAGUUAUUUACCAUG
rnacentral:lncRNA from 1 species